UUUUUCUAAAAUAAAACAUUUUUUUUCCCUCUCUUUUCUUGGCGCUCAAUCAUCUGCCCUCUUCCCUGCUCCCGCGGCGGCAGCGGCAUGCAGUUAUCAACGCAGGAAGAAUUAGGCUUUGCCCAUAUUUUCCCAUCCGCUUCACUGACAGGAUAAAAUGUAAGGGUUUUUUAUGUGUAGGGGUUUUUCAAUGGAUGCAUGGCACCGGGUGCAUAGCUACUACAAUUUCCAUCUUGGCCCUUCGUCGGACAGCCCACUUCUUGCAAUCUGAUCUGCCCAUAUUUUCCCAUCAGCUUCUACUGCUCACUAUCACCAGCUAAGACACAGGCAAGUUCGUGUAUUUUAAAAAAAAAUCUUCUUUGGUAGGGUUCUGUAAUACGUGAACGUGUCUUCUUAGUGCCUGUAGAUCAUUUAUAUGGAUCAUUUGAUAGAUUCCCUCUAAAGAGAUGUUGUUUCAAUGAAUGUGGGGAAAGAGCAGGGACGACUGAAUCGUAAUAGCUGGUAAUUGGUUAUUUGAAUUCAUUGUCAUAUUCAAAUUCCGAUUUGAAAAGGGCCCUUUUGCUUCAGGACAUACCCAAAAUGCUCAACCUUUCCCCGUAAAAUUACUUCUUGUGGCUCCACAAAGAUGUUUUCGAUCUUCUUAGACCAUAGUUGCCCUAAUGAUGACAUAUUGUAAACAAGGCUUCUAGUAGAAGAAAGAAGCCCUUCGACAGGUGUUGGCGAUUUAGAUCGCUCAGGGGUUUUUUCGGUGCGGGACGGUCGGGAAUCUCCUGUAAGAGUGCGCUCUGCCAAAGAGGGGCUUAAGAAUCGUGGCCGUGUCAGCAAACCCUAACUUGCGAUGUUUUUUGGACUCUUCUUCCAUCAGUGUUGGCACUGGGAGUUACUUGCAGGCUACGUGACAUGGGGUUGGUGUUUCGGUGGCUGGGUUGCCUCCUGCUCAUCAGCCACGACACUCUUCAGAUUGUGGUGUUGGGAGCUCUGCUCUUGGCUCAAAUGUUGUCCCAUCGUCUCCACCCCUUGGACGGGAAAACUCUUCUAGGUUUGGCGAUCCUUGUCCCCUUGGUUCUGCUAUUCGCAAAUUAAAAUACUUGGAUAGGUAAUGUUGUGCAACGAGAUACUCUUUGGGAAUUCGAUCCGACGACCUAGUGGCUAUCAAUUGAAAAGAGGCUAUUAUGUCAAAGCUUGCAACUUUUAACAAUGGUGAAAUAAAUGCAGAACCAUCAUUGUUGAUAACUGCAGAUCAAAGCCUUGGAUAAUUACAGCAUAGCCAGACAAAUUUCUGGUCUUAUUCUCCUCAUGCAGAAUUACAUCAUAUUAUUAGCGGUAAUUUAACCUGGAGGAUUAACAAGAGGGAAAUCUAUGGAGAUAAAAUGGAGGAGUUUUCACAACGGUCUUGUUACCGUUCAGGGUAGUGCAAUUCUGAGGGUGACUUCAGAGAGCUAGACAAAAAAACUGGGUUGACUAUAGAUGAACAACUUUAAAUUUGAGUCUCUUGCAUCUAUUGUAUUCUUGAGUCUUAAAAGGUAUUUUCCUAAUUAGAGAGCAAUAUCACAAUCAAAUUAUUUUCA